rnacentral:lncRNA from 1 species
GGGGCGGGAGUGACCACGGACAGGCCCCCGUCAAGGAGGGACGCCCUAGAAGGGAAGGGGCAAGCUGGGACAGGGUGGCCAGGGGGUGGCCAGGGAGCUUCUAGCCCUGGGGGCUUUCGACGCGCAGGCAGCAAACCUCUUCCGAAUCAAUCCCCUGUCACAGAACUUACUCAUCAUGGAAACUUCCACUCCGCACCAAGUCGGCCAAGAUGCCAAAUUACAUUUCACACCAGGAGAGACUGUCAACGCCAGGGCUGGGGCUCUGGGGCUUCGGCGCUCGCGGCCCCAUUUCUUAAAAGAAGCAAGCCCCCCUUCCGCCCCUUUCCGCACUCGGCGGCGGCGGCGGCGGCUCCCCUGCUCAGCACGAGCCCGGGCGCCCCUUUCCGCUGGCACCACGCUGGGGAGUCUCUCCGCGGCUCCUCCUCUCUCUCCUCCUCCUUCCCUUCCUCCCCAUUUCUCCCCCACCCCCACCCCCCACCCCCGCCUCCUCCUCCCAGUCUCGGGAUCAGGAGCUCUCCCACAAAGCCGGCGAAAGCAGCAGGUAAUCCGGGAUGGGCUGGCUGCCCGCCUGCCCUUACACUGAGACGCUGCCGCUGCCCAGGCCCCCAGCGGAGCGGGCACGAGCUGGAGCGCCCGCCCCGUCCCGGGCCGGCGCAGGCUGCCCGCCCGCCCCCUCGCCAGUGGCCCUGCACAGAGUGCCCAGGGGGCGGCAGCGGUGUUGUUUACCACCUCCCGACCGAGCGAAGCGGGGAGCCUGAGCCGCCGUCUAAGAGUCCAAAUAAAGGUCUCCAGGAGAAAGCGCGAGCCGACAGGAUUCCUGCAAAGUUAAUGCCCUGCCAGACUAGGUCCCGGGGCGCCGAGGCUUGCUGCUCGCCCCGAUCUUGGGUUGCAGCCUCUACCUUGGGCCGGCUCCGGCCCGUCCCGGAUAAUUCCGACGUUUGGGUCACUUACCUGGAGGCGCCCAAACAGCUGGAGGAAGGAACACUGCCUCCUGCCCCGGGCACUUCACUUAGCGCAGGAACCAAGUUCGGUUUAGAAAUGGGUCUUCUCGCCUCUCACCUGACCCAGCCCAGGGCAGAGCCCACCCCUGUGCCCUGCGCUCAGCCUGGGCUGCCGCUCCCGGCCCGGGCAGGUCCCGGGCCACCCCUUCCUCCGUAG